CGUAGGUGGCAAGCGUUGUCCGGAAUUAUUGGGCGUAAAGCGCGCGCAGGCGGAAAUUUAAGUCUAUCUUAAAAGUGCGGGGCUCAACCCCGUGACGGGAUAGAAACUGGGUUUCUUGAGUGUCGGAGAGGACAGUGGAAUUCCCAGUGUAGCGGUGAAAUGCGUAGAUAUUGGGAGGAACACCAGUGGCGAAGGCGACUGUCUGGACGAUGUCUGACGCUGAGGCGCGAAAGCCAGGGUAGUGAACGGGAUUAGAUACCCCGGUAAUCCUGGCCGUAAACGAUGGGUACUAGGUGUUGGGGGUAUCGACCCUCCAGUGCCGGAGUUAACGCAAUAAGUACCCCGCCUGGGGAGUACGGCCGCAAGGUUG
rnacentral:rRNA from 1 species